AACAGCUUGGCGCCAAGGCAGGGAGUUGACGUCAACGGAGUCCGUGUUAGGGGCCCCGAAGCAGGGUCUGGAAAAGGGGGAUGGGAUGUGGGUGUGAAGGGAUGCAGCCCCCCCAAAAGAAAUCGAGGUGAAAAAGAAAUACCUACUAAUGAUGCCCCAAUGCAAAAUCUGAGAAGAUAAAGGGGGAAAAAGGACAAGCAUAUAUUUGUCUAAAAACGGGAAAAAAGGGGAAAAAAGCCGUGAAAAAUCGAGGCAAAAACAUAUACGUUGAGGUCUAACCACGAACGAUAAAGGUGGAAGAAAGGAGUUUUCUGCCUGCAACACCCAAGCACUAAGCUAAUUUCCUUAAUAAACGAAGAGAUAUUGGAAAUCAUCAAGGGACAGACAAAGGCAAACCAAAAAAAAAGGGGGCAAAAGAGACCGCAAGUCACAGGACAAUACAAAUGGCUGGAAGAAUCAUGACUUGACUCGGCAUAGCGAAACGCCAACCUGAGAUACCGGGUGAAGGCGGUUUAGGGCAGUGCGCUGAAUCGCAUGCUGUCACCACCGUUGCACGAAUCCACUGCGUAGACUAGCAAGAAAUUGCGAGGGGAGUGAGUGCGUAGAUUACCAAGCCUGCUUCUGAUAGAAGAAAUUCCGUCACCAGGAGAAAUAACGGGGUGUCGCUGCCAUAAAGGACCAAGAUCGCAAUAGAUUCAAGGAAAUAAAACGCGUUGCUGAAGUUUGUAGAAACGGAACGGUUCAUUUCCCCCAUUGCAACACCUUUAACAGACGUUUUUGAGUAACAGCAUAGCCAGUGUACAGUGACAUUUGCCUGAGGCAGUAGGACCUGUGACAUCGGAACAGUCCGAAGGCUCCAGCAGAUGAGAAUCCAGCUGUCUGCUAUCAAGUCUGGCACUGAAGAGAUUUGCAGAGAUGUAGAGUGAUGCUACCAGAAGAGAGCUUCAAUUGGAUCUUCAGCAGGUGAUGCCAUCUGGUCCAGGGUCUCUCUUGUCUUGCACUGUGGACAUUCAGCACUGGAGAAUUCUUUGCUUUCUUUGACAUCGGCUCUUGUUUUCCUGCAACCCACGAGUUCCCCCACCACCUGGAAGAACUAACAGGAAAUGAGCAAGAGCAAAGACACAACCACAGCUUAACGACCUGAAUGAUGCUCCUUCCCUGAUCAGCACUGGGUAACAGCCUGCAGCAGGCCUGACCCUUUCAUUAGCAGCGUGCAGCAGGAUCGUGAGCAACAGCUGUGACAUUCCUGAGUGGGCCUGGGCCUUCUCCUCACUCCAGUCAGUGUUCUUUCUGCUGCUCAGAAGGGAUUUUUUUGUGACUUUGGAGCAGUUUGACUCUUCAGUUCUUACAGGACUGAAUAUCUGGAUCUGGAAUCUGCAGUCAAAAAGGCCAGCACCAGAGGUGACCACUCAGGCUCAUCUUCCUAACUGUUGCAUUUGCAUGAGAGACUAGAAUUUGACCAGAACGUCAUUGUCUCAGCAUCAUCAGAGGGACAGAGAAGAGCAGAGACACCAGUGAGACCAGAUGUGCACUG